rnacentral:rRNA from 1 species
GUCCACACCGUAAACGUUGGGCGCUAGGUGUGGGUCCAUUCCACGGAUUCCGUGCCGCAGCUAACGCAUUAAGCGCCCCGCCUGGGGAGUACGGCCGCAAGGCUAAAACUCAAAGGAAUUGACGGGGCCCGCACAAGCGGCGGAGCAUGCGGAUUAAUUCGAUGCAACGCGAAGAACCUUACCUGGGUUUGACAUAUACCGGAAAGCGCUAGAGAUAGUGCCCCUUUUAGUCGGUAUACAGGUGGUGCAUGGCUGUCGU